rnacentral:rRNA from 1 species
UACGGAGGGUGCGAGCGUUGUCCGGAAUCAUUGGGCGUAAAGGGCGCGUAGGUGGCCCGGUCAGUUCGUGGUGAAAGCGCGGGGCUCAACCCUGCGUCGGCCAUGAAUACUGCCGCGGCUGGAGCACUGUAGAGGCAGGCGGAAUUCCGGGUGUAGCGGUGGAAUGCGUAGAUAUCAGGAGGAACACCGGUGGUGUAAACGGCGUCUCUGGACCGUAACUGACGCUGAGACACGAAAGCGUGGGUAGCAAACAGG